rnacentral:lncRNA from 1 species
GGUCUGCACGCCAGCCACAUUGAGAGGAUCAAUUGCAGAGAUGUGCCGGGCUUUGCUUAAAUUGGCCUUCGUCCAGUUUCAGCGUUCAAAGCAGGAACGGUGGGAAAUGAGAGGGAGAUGGCCUGUGACCAUGUGGGCUGCCCCUCACUACACCCACAGCCAGCCAGGCAUUCAGGUUUCUUUCUGCAAUUCUGUCUUAAGGGAAGGACUUCAGGGGCACAGGAAACUCCCACAUCAAAGGGUAAAUGAGGAAAUGCUGCUGACGUUCCCAGGACCCUCCCGAUGAAUCCUAAACCACUAAUUUAAUUUGAAGGAUGCUCACCUAAAAGCAAGUAAGGCCUGACCUGUAAAAGUGAGGUCAUUCCCACCAGGUGGCUGAAAACACUAUCACCCAAGUAAAAUGGAUUGUGUCAUAGGAACCGUGAGCGUGUCCUCACUGAACACAAUUUGACAGUUUCAAAAUCCUCUGCAUUCGAAAUUGAGAAAGAAGAGUCAUUCACAGGCUACUACUAUUACUGUUACAACUAACACUCACACUGAUCACCAAAUUAAUCAUGUGGAAUAACUAAAAAUGACACAUUGCUCAGCUAACAUUUCUUUGCCAGGAAAAGCUUGUUUCUAACAGUCUUUCAGCCAGCUUGAAGCUUUUACUCUUUGUUCAGCAAACACUGUGAUUCCUUUGGGCUC